rnacentral:lncRNA from 1 species
GGUUCGAACCUAUGGGAUCAUACUCAAAAAAAAUUUCUGACUGAUCAUAUGGCUGAUCAAUGAUUGAAAAUCAUUCAAGGGCUUAAUCAUCAAUUCGAUUGAUGGUUAACCCUAUGAAAAAAUUAUAAUAAAUUAAUUUAUCAAGUGUUAAUGAAUUAAUGGAAGAUUAAUUAAUAAUUAGAUUACUGAUUAGCUCAAUUUGAUUGAGCAAAGAGGAUUAAAUAAAAUCUAAUUGAAUUGGAUUCAAUUAGGUUUGACCAGAUUAGGUUAUGAGAUGACCUAAUUGCUAAGGAAGAAUUAUCCCUGAUUUGAUUAGAACUUUGGUUCAAUC